AACCGUUUACCAAUUCGCCAUACACGGUUUGUGUAAUCACAGAUUUGGCAAGGUCAGAUUCUUCAGGGCGCUCCGUAAUCACUUUCACAACAUAUCAGAUGAUAUGAAAAUCGCAUUUGUCCUUGACAUUUGUAAACGACGAGAUCAGAUGCUGACCAAGUGGGUACAGGAAAUAUUUGAUAAUGACGGUGAUGGAUACAUAAACCGUUUUGAAAAGGAUAUCUACAGAAAAUGAAACUCCGACAUCGUAUGGCACAUGACAAGGGAAAUUGAUCAUCGCUAUAGUGUUUCGGUUCCGGAUAUAAUCAUUAGGACAGACCUGUCUCAUUCAGUCUG